rnacentral:rRNA from 1 species
CCUACGGGAGGCAGCAGUGAGGAAUAUUGGUCAAUGGUCGGAAGACUGAACCAGCCAAGCCGCGUGAGGGAGGAAGGUACAGAGUAUCGUAAACCUCUUUUGUCAGGGAACAAAGGCGGGGACGUGUCCCCGGAUGAGUGUACCUGAAGAAAAAGCAUCGGCUAACUCCGUGCCAGCCGCCGCGGUAAUACGGCGGAUGCGAGCGUUAUCCGGAUUUAUUGGGUUUAACGGGUGCGCAGGCGGUCUGUUAAGUCAGCGGUGAAAGUCCGGGGCUCAACCCCGGACCCGCGGUUGAAACUGGCAGUCUCGAGUUGGUGAGAAGUAUGCGGAAUGCGCGGUGUAGCGGUGAAAUGCAUAGAUAUCGCGCAGAACUCCGAUUGCGAAGGCAGCAUGCCGGCUCCACACUGACGCUGAGGCACGAAAGCGUGGGUAUCGAACAGGAUUAGAUACCCUAGUAGUC